UGCUCUCCCGUGGAGCUGUUUUCUACAGUAGAGUAAGAGUCCAGUGCAGGGCUGGUCUUCUUUAAAUCACAUGAGGAACCAUUUUAAGGCGGAGGCUGUUCGCUCUGUGCUUUCUGUUUCAUUCUUAGACUGCAGCAAUGGCUGACCAAGAGCAAAACAGAAAAGAAGAAUUUCUGAAAACUCAACAAGGUUUCAGAGAAAAUGCCUACAAGAUUAUCAUGAAGAUGGAUGACUGGUCUAACAUGGCUCCAGGAAGUAAACACUUAGUGGAUGAGAUUCUUCACAGCAUCUUCUUUUUGGGCAAA